GGGUCCACACAUCACAAAGUCUCCACUCUCUCUGUCGCGUGUCCCUUUCACUCACUCUUUGGAACUCUCUCCGUCUCUGCCUGGCUCUAACUCUCUCAGCACUCUCCCUCUCUUAGCUCUCUUUCCACUCCCCAUCAACACAGACACACAUACACCACUGAUCACCAUACCUCCGGCAACACCACCACCACCAAUUCUUUCUCUGCGAGUCCUACGAACACAAAACGAGGAGAAACCCCUCAUUUUCCCUCUUUCCCUCGCUGCACAGUACCAUCACUGUGCAAUAUUGAAUUCAACGAGUUCUCGCCGUCUUCGGCGAAGAAAUCUCUUGGGGAAAUCUCCCCAAUUUUCCAAUGAAGGACCCGCAGGCUGCAAGCCAUUUCCUGGCCAUUUCUGGUCACUACUUGACCCAAUAUUGGUGCGAUUACUAUCGGAGACUUUGGCUUUCUUAGUUCAAAAGGCUACGACCUCGCAAGUAUUUGUGAGUGAGUCUUUUCUUUUAUAUAGUGUGUGUGUGUGUGUGUGUGUGUGUGUGU